GAUGAACGCUGGCGGCGUGCCUAAUACAUGCAAGUCGAGCGAACAGAUGAGGAGCUUGCUCCUCUGACGUUAGCGGCGGACGGGUGAGUAACACGUGGAUAACCUACCUAUAAGACUGGGAUAACUUCGGGAAACCGGAGCUAAUACCGGAUAAUAUAUUGAACCGCAUGGUUCAAUAGUGAAAGACGGUUUUGCUGUCACUUAUAGAUGGAUCCGCGCCACAUUAGCUAGUUGGUAAGGUAACGGCUUACCAAGGCAACGAUGCGUAGCCGACCUGAGAGGGUGAUCGGCCACCCUGGAACUGAGACACGGUCCAGCCUCCUACGGGAGGCAGCAGUAGGGAAUCUUCCGCAAUGGGCGAAAGCCUGACGGAGCAACGCCGCGUGAGUGAUGAAGGUCUUCGGAUCGUAAAACUCUGUUAUUAGGGAAGAACAAAUGUGUAAGUAACUAUGCACGUCUUGACGGUACCUAAUCAGAAAGCCACGGCUAACUACGUG
rnacentral:rRNA from 1 species